rnacentral:rRNA from 1 species
UACGUAGGGUGCAAGCGUUGUCCGGAAUUAUUGGGCGUAAAGAGCUCGUAGGCGGUCUGUUACGUCGGCUGUGAAAACCUGGGGCUCAACCCCGGGCCUGCAACCGAUACGGGCAGACUAGAGUUCGGCAGGGGAGACUGGAAUUCCUGGUGUAGCGGUGAAAUGCGCAGAUAUCGGGAGGAACACCAAUGGCGAAAGCAGGUAACUGGACUAUUACUGACACUCAACUGCGAAAGCUAGGGGAGCAAACAGG